rnacentral:rRNA from 1 species
AGAAUCAACGCUGGCGGCGUGCCUAAUACAUGCAAGUCGAACGCGAAAGUCCCGCAAGGGAUGAGUAGAGUGGCAAACGGGUGAGUAACGCGUGGGUGACCUGCCUUCGAGUGGGGGAUAACGUUUCGAAAGGAACGCUAAUACCGCAUGACAUCCUGCCUUUUAACAGGCGGAGAUCAAAGCCGGGGAUCGCAAGACCUGGCGCUUGAAGAGGGGCCCGCGUCCGAUUAGCUAGUUGGUGGGGUAAUGGCUCACCAAGGCAACGAUCGGUA